ACUCUGUGUGGAGGGUGGAGGAAAGGUUAAUUACUAUAAUUAUAUAAUAUUUCAGUUUGUUUGUUCUUGUUUCUGGGUUUGCUUAUUUUCUUUGUUAUUGUUAUGUAUUGUUAUGAUCCUUUGUUAUUUUCUUAUAGCCCUGGGCAUAAACAUCAAUCCUUAUUUGAGAAAUGGGGUAUAGUGGCAAAAGUCUAAAUUUUAUAGGCUUAAGGCCAAACCCUACAUUAACUUUUCGAUCUUGGGUGAAUGAUUUAGCUUUUCUGGGGUUCAGUUUCUUUACCAGCAAACUGGGGAUAAUAGUCCUUGCCAACUAUAUGCUUUAGAGGUAUAACGAUAAGAUGACUGAAUAAAACAAGCCAUCCACCCCACUUAAAUUAAGUGACAAUAUGUUUAAUCAGCCAACAAUUUUAGAUUAAGCACAAAGAGUCCUUAAAAUUAAAGUAACCUUACUCAAGAAUGAUGCUUGGGUGGACUGAGUUCACUUGAUCAUAUAUCCUAGAAAUCACCUAUAAGUGAUUAAGUUAGUUUUAUCAUUUGAGAAGCUGAAACAGCUUAUGUAAGCUAGAUGGUUUGCCCAAGGUCAGCCAGUAAGCUGUGAACAUGGGACUGAAACUCAAGUAUCCAGGCUGGACCACUUGAUACAAAACCCUAAAAUGAAAGUCUCAAAAAAAUCCUGAAGGACCAGAGAAAAUCUAUGAUAAUCAAACUCAUCUCAGGUAUUCCUUCCUCUUAAUCUUGUGUUUGAUUCUCUUGAGGAACUCUAUUGGGACCAGGAGUUCUUUACUUCAGGGAUCUUCUCAGUAGCCACAGAAAGAACAGGAAGAAAAAGGGAGCACAUGUAAGUGAAACUGCAUUGCCAUGUGUAGGUAGGUGUCCCAGUCUGGAACAACCACUGGGGGUCUCAUGGAAGUUUUCACCAAGGAAUCAGAAAAGGGCAGCAAUUUUUCAGACAUUCAAAUUUGGCUUCAGACAAUUACUGUGUGAUGCUGGGCAAGCCACAGAACCCUAUUUUCCUCAUCUACAAAAUGAACUGGAGAAGGAAAUGAUAAACCACUCCAAUAUUUUUGCCUAGGAAACACCAAAGGGGUCAUGAAGAGUCAGACGUGACUGUAACAACUCAACAAAAAUAACAACAAUCCAGUACACCAUGCUAUCUUUCAAUAGAUACUUCAAUUGAACUUCUCCACAUAACCCCUGAGAUUCGAUUCCUCAUUUGUAAAAUGAGGAAAAAUCUAUCUGAAAAAAUGCCUAGUUGACUUUUGAGAUCCCUCCCAAGUCUUGAUCUAUGAUCCAAAGAAGAAGUAAUGGUUCCAUGAUAAGCCAUCUUUAGCCUUGAUACACCCAGAUUCAACAUCUUGUCCUUCCUCAUUGUUAAUGGAUGGGUUGCCUGGGCUUUUCAUCACUUCCAUAGUGGGGCACCUGGUGGCACGAGAGGGUACAGCUUUCAUAGUGAAAGGUAGACAAGUUUACUAUCUCUGAGAUGACAAGCAGAUUGUGAGAACACAGAUUUUGACCUCAACAGGACCUUAGAAGCAAUAAUGUACAUUUGUACAUAAGUACAAUUGUUCUUCUCCCAUCAUUUUACAGAGGGGGCUCUAUGGCCCUGAGUGACUUCUCCAAGGUCACAGAUAGAAAGUAACAGAACUGAGAUUUUAAUUCAGGUCCCCUGGUUGUGAAUCCAAUACUCUUUCCAAAGGCCAAUGAAGUCCAUGCUAUAUUGGUAUAGGGUAUGGAAGUCACAUGAAAGAACAAUCUUGGGGCAUCUAGGUUGGACAAUGGAUAGAACUCCAAGCCCAGAGUCAGAGGAAUCUGGAUUUAAAUCAGCCCUCAGUCACUUGCUGGCUACUUGACCCUGGGCAAAUCACGUAACCCCAGUUGCCUAACCCUUGCCACUCUUCUGUCUUAGAAUUGAUACUUACAGAAGGUAAGGUUGGUUUUUUUUUAAGUCUAAUAUCCAUCUUAAUCAUCCCCCACCAACCAAAAAAAAAAAAAACAGGGAGAGAGAGUUUUUGGAAUAUCCAAAAAAUAUCCUACCAUGGUAGAUCAGUGCAAAUAUAGUGGGGAAAGACAUU
ensembl:lncRNA